AAAAACUCUAUUUUGUGUAUCCACCCAUCAGCUAACGGACAUUUGGGUUGUUGCCACGUUCCGGCCCAUACCCUCCCAUCCGUCUGCAAAGCCACCCUUGGAGACGCCGUUUACCAUCAGCCCAUGUCCCGGUGUCUUUUAGGAGGACCCAUCCCACCAAUUCAAGGAAAUUGCUGUCUCUGUGCACGGCCAUCACUGCGAUCGAUUUUAGAACAUUUCAUCACCCCGGGAAAGAAAACUCACACCCUUUAGCUCUGACCUUCUCAUACACCCACCACCAGGAAACUCCUGAUCUACAUUUUCCAUCUCUACAAAUUUGCCUGUUCCGAGCAGUUCCUGCGGACGGAAUCAGACGAAGGUCGGCGCCAUGAGGAAGGAGUCUGUUCUGCGUAGGACUACAUCCUCCGCGCCUAGAACUGCCGCGGGCGUGUGGUUAGCUGCUCGAUCCGGAACAAACGAGGCCAAGGUCUGGGGCAGGCUCCGGGUGGCCUCCGCCCAGCCCAGGGCGCCUUCUCUUCUCUCGCGUGGCCUCUCCAGGACCAAAUGGAAACAGAGGCGGCACCAAAAAAAAA